CGCGAAGUACGCGAUGAUUGUAAAUAAUAGACAGCAACACUUAAGCCCGGAAACGUAAAAUAAAGAACAUGAAAUUUAGUCUAUGAAAUUACAAGUAUGCAGUGACAUUGACAGUAGUGACAAGUACAAACAGGUUUCAUAAACGCGGCUAUCGACAAACAACUUCGAAUCCUGUUGUUAAUUAUCAAAUUACUUGAGAAAUCCAGUGUUUCAUAAUUGGAAAGUGCUCACAAAUCAAAUAUUAAAGGAAAUCAUUCAUUAUAUCAUCAGGUAACUUCAUAGAUGCUUUAAGAGGAAAUUACAUACUACAUAUCAACAUCAUUGCCCAGUGGUGGAGAGAAUGCAUUGCUGUAGUAUUUGAAGAAAAUCUAAUAAAAGAAACUAGGUUCAAUUAAUGACAAGGUAUGUAAAUGUAAGUUUAGAACCCCUGGUGUAUUAAAAGGGGACAAGUUAAAGCCUUUUUUAAUGAGAUUAUUGUAUGAGAUAUAAAUUAUAUACAAAUUAAAGACUUAAGCAAAUAAGUCAUUACAUUUAGUAGUAAACAAGGUUUAUUACAAUUAAACCUGAACGAUAACAAGUUAGAAAGAAUUUAGCGGUUUGUGUUUGAUUGUGACUAUCUUUGUUGAAUAAAUAAGAACCAAAAUAUGCUCUUGAAGUUUCUUGCUGUUGUAAGCAAAUUGCCAAAAGGGGCACGGUAGUGUCACAUCCAAGUCAAAUGAAAAGUAACAUUUAGUGAGAAGUGUUACCCAAGUUCGGGAAUUAGUGCUGUUUAUAGACUAGGUCGAACUAUGUGUGGGACUUGCAUGUGAACUUUAAUAAAACUUUGCUAAGCAAGAGUAACAGUGUUGAGCUACGACCAAGUAUUUCACAAACUUUGUUUACCAUUUAUCAGAGAAUGGUAUGAAGCGAGUUGAUUGAAUAAAAUUCACAAUCAAUACACAGAUUAAUUAUAUUAUAAUUAACAGCCUUUACAUAAAAGUCACUUACCAAUAAAUUGUGUUGAUGGGACUCCUUUGUAGUCAAUAUAG